rnacentral:rRNA from 1 species
GAUGAACGCUGGUGGCGUGCCUAACACAUGCAAGUCGAGCGAUUCUCUUCGGAGAAGAGCGGCGGACGGGUGAGUAACGCGUGGGUAACCUGCCCUGUACACACGGAUAACAUACCGAAAGGUAUGCUAAUACGAGAUAACAUGCUUUUAUCGCAUGGUAGAAGUAUCAAAGCUUUUGCGGUACAGGAUGGACCCGCGUCUGAUUAGCUAGUUGGUGAGGUAACGGCUCACCAAGGCGACGAUCAGUAGCCGACCUGAGAGGGUGAUCGGCCACAUUGGAACUGAGACACGGUCCAAACUCCUACGGAAGGCAGCAGUGGGGAAUAUUGCACAAUGGGCGAAAGCCUGAUGCAGCAACGCCGCGUAAGCGAUGAAGGCCUUCGGGUCGUAAAGCUCUGUCCUCAAGGAAGAUAAUGACGGUACUUGAGGAAGAAGCCCCGGCUAACUACGUG